CAGCGAGUAAACCACGUGGGCCGGCAUUUAAGGCCAUCCUUGUUAUAACCGUCUGGACACUCGCAUUUAAAACUACCUUAUUUAGUGUCAAAUUCGUCGAAAAUGAAGCCGGCACCACAUCGACAAAGGAAGGAUCCUACCGUGUUGGAGCAAGUACUAUGCUGGCCUUUACAUUUUGCAGUUUCCGCGCAUUCAUCGAUGUCUGAUAUGUCAAUAAAAAUGAAAUAUUG